rnacentral:rRNA from 1 species
UACGUAGGGUGCGAGCGUUAAUCGGAAUUACUGGGCGUAAAGCGUGCGCAGGCGGUUUUGUAAGCCAGAUGUGAAAGCCCCCGGCUUAACCUGGGAACUGCGUCUGAUACUGGAGGGCUUGAGUGCGGGAGAGGGAUGUGGAAUUCCAGGUGUAGCGGUGAAAUGCGUAGAUAUCUGGAGGAACACCGGUGGCGAAGGCGGCAUCCUGGACCGACACUGACGCUGAGGCGCGAAAGCUAGGGUAGCAAACGGG